UACAUUGCCUACGCAUGGUGCCUGUUGCUGAUACCCCUUCUACUUCAUGUUUGCCGGCGCUGCGUCAUCUUGCAAAGCCUCGUGCUUGCAGCCAUGUUUCUGCAUUGCGAGAUGUAUCGGUACGGUGAGAAGAUGUUAGUGGCGUUUCCAGAAAUACGUAGAAUCUUAGAAAUGAUGGAACAUUAAUUUGGUGUUCUGCAGUGCACCUCUUCGCAGACAUAUGUCCAAGUGAACGAAGUAGUCACUUAAGCAGGUGCACACGUGCCAGAGUGGAGAAAAUUUACUACCCUGUUAAAGUAGGGCACGAAUUUAUAAUAUGGCACACAAGAUUAAAACGAAACUAGAAGGAAGGAAGAAAGCCAUAAAACGUACAAAGCCACGGUU